UCUUCCAUGCCACCCCCAGAGACCAAGCUCAUUCUCCGACCUGCAUGCUCUCCACCAAGCCUGGCUCCAAACCAACUCUUCUCAGGUGCCUUGGUGCCUACGAGUCAAGUUAACAUCUCAGCAAACUGACAUGGAGCUUCACUCUACAACACUCAAAUCUCAGUGUUAAAUCUCAGAAUUGCCCAAGACAACUGAGCUGUUUUCUUUAUGCUUUACCAAGUACCUUGUGUCCACCUGCCCUCUUUUUAGAAAAAUGAUGCCAAGUCUUAUGUACUGGUGGAGGACAGUGUUCAUCUGCCGCCUUUAGCAGACCCCUUACCCAGCCAGCUUAGGUACACUAAGACAGCCCUGGAGUUGGAAGCCAAGGACACCAGUCGUAAUCUCAGCUGUGUUGGCAGCACCGGACAACUCACAACCUCUCUGAGCCCCGGGUUUUUCAUCAGUAACACAGCUAUAAUAUACUUGCUCCCCAAGCACCCCCUCGCCACAGAAUUCCCCACUGAAGCUACUGAUGGCUACCAAUCCAGACAGUGAGAAGCCCUUGGGGAAACUGAGCCAACCAAACCUGCGCAGGCCUUCAGGUCUAACUCUCAGUUGACAGGGGACUGAGGAACAUGCCACCUAACACCAAGAAGA